GACGAACGCUGGCGGCGUGCUUAACACAUGCAAGUCGAACGGAAAGGCCCUGCUUUUGUGGGGUGCUCGAGUGGCGAACGGGUGAGUAACACGUGAGUAACCUGCCCUUGACUUUGGGAUAACUUCAGGAAACUGGGGCUAAUACCGGAUAGGAGCUCCUGCUGCAUGGUGGGGGUUGGAAAGUUUCGGCGGUUGGGGAUGGACUCGCGGCUUAUCAGCUUGUUGGUGGGGUAGUGGCUUACCAAGGCUUUGACGGGUAGCCGGCCUGAGAGGGUGACCGGCCACAUUGGGACUGAGAUACGGCCCAGACUCCUACGGGAGGAAGCAGUGGGGAAUAUUGCACAAUGGGCGGAAGCCUGAUGCAGCAACGCCGCGUGCGGGAUGACGGCCUUCGGGUGGUAAACCGCUUUCGCCUGUGACGAAGCGUGAGUGACGGUAAUGGGUAAAGAAGCACCGGCUAACUACGU
rnacentral:rRNA from 1 species